ACAUGAAGCUGGAAUCGCUAGUAAUCACAGGUCAGCAUACUGCGGUGAAUACGUUCCCGGGUCUUGUACACACCGCCCGUCACACCAUGGGAGCCGGAAAUGCCCGAAGCCAGUGACCCAACCUUAGGGAGGGAGCUGUCGAAGGUGGAGCCGGUAACUGGGGUGAAGUCGUAACAAGGUAGC
rnacentral:rRNA from 1 species